rnacentral:rRNA from 1 species
GACGAACGCUGGCGGCGUGCCUAACACAUGCAAGUCGAACGGUGAAGCGCCUUCCUUUCUGGUGGGUGUGGAUCAGCGGCGAACGGGUGAGCAACACGUGAGUAACCUGCUCCCUCUUUCUGGACAACCGCAUGACAGAGCGGCUAACACGGGAUAUUCUGGGUCUGUCGCAUCAUUGGUCUGGGACAGUUAUUGUUUCGCUGGGGGAUGGGGUCGCGGCCUAUCAGCUUGUUGGUGGGGUGAUGGCCUACCAAGGCGGUGACGAGUAGCCGGCCUGAGAGGGUGGGCGGUCACACAGGGGCUGAGAGGCGCAGCAGACUACGGCAGGAGGCAGCAGGGAAGAAUAUGGCACAGUGGACAGAAGGCUGGUGCAACGACGCCGGAUGGAGGAUGGUGUUCGUCGGGUUGUAAACCUCUUUCAGGGAUGAAGCAGGGCUGCCGCGUUUGUGGAUGGGUUGACGGUAGCUGAUUAAAAAGCGCCGGCUAACUACGUG